AUCUCAUGAAGAGUGGUUGAGGGACUGGCCCUACGAAACCACGGCAACCGGCUGGGACGCGAUUUCCAGUGCAGGUGCCAAGUCCAGCUCGAGCACCAUUAGCUCGGGGAAAAAUGAGAA
rnacentral:ncRNA from 19 species